rnacentral:rRNA from 1 species
GGACUACUAGGGUUUCUAAUCCUGUUUGCUCCCCACGCUUUCGUGUCUCAGCGUCAGUCCUUGGCUAGUAGCUCGCCUUCGCCACUGAUGUUCUUCCAGAUAUCUACAGAUUUCACCCCUACACCUGGAAUUCCAGCUACCCCUCCAGAACUCUAGUCACCCAGUUUCCAACGCGUUCCUCGAGUUAAGCUCGAGUCUUUCACGCCAGACUUAGAUAACCGCCUGCACACCCUUUACGCCCAAUAAUUCCGAACAACGCUCGCCCCAUACGUGUUACCGCGGCUGCUGGCAC